UACGUAGGGGGCUAGCGUUGUCCGGAAUCAUUGGGCGUAAAGAGCGUGUAGGCGGCUCGGUAAGUCCGCUGUAAAAGUCAAAGGCUCAACCUUUGAAUGUCAGUGGAUACUGCCGGGCUAGAGUCCGGAAGAGGCGAGUGGAACUCCUGGUGUAGCGGCGGAAUGCGCAGAUAUCAGGAAGAACACCAACGGCGAAGGCAGCUCGCUGGGACGGUACUGACGCUGAGACGCGAAAGCGUGGGGAGCGAACAGG
rnacentral:rRNA from 1 species